GUCUUUUUGUUUAAAAUUUAAAGUCUAACCUGCCCAAUGAUUAUUUUAAUGGCUGCGGUAUUUUGACUGUACAAAGGUAGCAUAAUCAUUAGUUUUUUAAUUGAAAACUUGUAUGAAUGGUUGAACGAAAAAAUUACUGUCUCAAUUUAAAUUUAUUAGAAUUUUAUUUUUAAGUCAAAAAGCUUAAAUUUAAAUAAAAGACGAGAAGACCCUAUAGAGUUUAAUAUAUUUUUAAAAUAAUUUGUAAGAAUUUUUCUUUUUUAAAUAUAUAUUUUAUUGGGGUGAUAAAUAAAUUUAAUUAACUUUAUUAAAUUAAAAUCAUUAAUUUAUGUAUUAUUGAUCCAAAUUUUUUGAUUAAAAGAUUAAAUUACCUUAGGGAUAACAGCGUAAUUUUUUUUGAGAGUUCUUAUCGAAAAAAAAGAUUGCGACCUCGAUGUUGGAUUAAAAUUAAUAUUUGGUGUAGAAGCUAAUUUAUUAAGUCUGUUCGACUUUUAAUUUUUUACAUGAUCUGAGUUUAAAUCGGCGUGAGCCAGAUUGGUUUCUAUCUUUAUUAAAUUUAAAUAUUUUAGUACGAAAGGACCAAAUAUUUAUAAAAUUUAUUUUAUUUUGAAUAU
rnacentral:rRNA from 1 species